AUGUCUGGAUGUGGCAAGCAGAGCAGCAAGGCUUGCACUGAGGCCAAGACCCAGCCCUCCUGGGUUAGUCUGCAGUUCUUGACAGGUUGUGUGCACCUCCUGCUCUUCAAGGGCAAUUACUAUGAGAAAGUAAGGGCUGAUAUGCCACUGUGCUUAGUAGUGGUGUUGGAGUGCUGAUUACUCAGAUUCUGGAGUUGGCAGGCAAUGGGACCUGUGACAACAAGAAGACAUGUAUCAUCCUGCACCACCUGCAGCUGGCCAGUUGCAAUAAUGAAGAUGUCAACAAGUUGCUGGGUAAAGUCAUUAUCACACAGGUGACUGUCUUGCCCAACAUCCAGGCCAAGAUGCUGCCCAAGAAGACUGA
rnacentral:lncRNA from 1 species